rnacentral:rRNA from 1 species
AAUCAACGCUGGCGGCGUGCCUAACACAUGCAAGUCGAACGCGAAAGUCCCGCAAGGGAUCAGUAGAGUGGCAAACGGGUGAGUAACGCGUGGGCGACCUACCUUCGAGUGGGGGAUAACCUUCCGAAAGGAGGGCUAAUACCGCAUGACAUCCUGCUUUUGGAUAAGUGGAGAUCAAAGCUGGGGAUCGCAAGACCUGGCGCUUGGAGAGGGGCCCGCGUCCGAUUAGCUAGUUGGUGAGGUAACGGCUCACCAAGGCUCCGAUCGGUAUCCGGCCUGAGAGGGCGGACGGACACACUGGGACUGAGACACGACCCAGACUCCUACGGGAGGCAGCAGUGGGGAAUUGUUCGCAAUGGGCGCAAGCCUGACGACGCAACGCCGCGUGGAGGAUGAAGACCUUCGGGUCGUAAACUCCUUUCGACCAAGAUGAACAUCCGGCGAUUUAAUAAGUCGCCGGACUGACAGUAUUGGGAGAAGAAGCCCCGGCUAACUCCGUGCCAGCAGCCGCGGUAAUACGGGGGGGGCAAGCGU